rnacentral:rRNA from 1 species
AUUGAACGCUGGCGGCAUGCCUUACACAUGCAAGUCGAACGGUAACAGGUCUUCGGAUGCUGACGAGUGGCGAACGGGUGAGUAAUACAUCGGAACGUGCCCGAUCGUGGGGGAUAACGAAGCGAAAGCUUUGCUAAUACCGCAUACGAUCUACGGAUGAAAGCAGGGGACCGCAAGGCCUUGCGCGAACGGAGCGGCCGAUGGCAGAUUAGGUAGUUGGUGGGAUAAAAGCUUACCAAGCCGACGAUCUGUAGCUGGUCUGAGAGGACGACCAGCCACACUGGGACUGAGACACGGCCCAGACUCCUACGGGAGGCAGCAGUGGGGAAUUUUGGACAAUGGGCGAAAGCCUGAUCCAGCCAUGCCGCGUGCAGGAUGAAGGCCUUCGGGUUGUAAACUGCUUUUGUACGGAACGAAAAGACUCUGGUUAAUACCUGGGGUCCAUGACGGUACCGUAAGAAUAAGCACCGGCUAACUACGUGCCAGCCGCCGCAGUAA